rnacentral:rRNA from 1 species
GACGAACGCUGGCGGCGUGCUUAACACAUGCAAGUCGAACGGAAAGGCCUGCUUUCCCUUGUGCUUUGCGGGUACUCGAGUGGCUAACGGGUGAGUAACACGUGAGUGAUCUGCCCCCAACUUGGGUAUAAGCCUGGGAAACUGGGUCUAAUUACCGAUAGGACUGCAGGGUGGAGUCGGUGGUGGAAGACGAUUUUCUAGUGGUUGGGGAUGAGCUCGCGGCCUAUCAGGUUGUUGGUGGGGUAAUGGCCGACCAAGGCGGGGACGGGUAGCCGGCCGGGGAGCGGCGACGGCCGAAUUGGGACAGGGACACGGCCCCGACGGCAGCGGGAGGCAGCGGUUGUGAAGAAAGGGGAGUAAGCGGGACGCUGAAGCAGCGAGGCAGUGUGGGGGAUGACGGGCUUGGGGUUGUCAGCUCCUUUCGACCAAGAAGAAGGCACCUGGCCGGAAGGGUGGUGACGGUAGUGGUAGAAGAAGCACCGGCUAACUACGUG